GCUCCUCUGUGUGGAGGUGCUGGCCUCAGCGAGGAGAGAACGCCAGCUAUAAGCUCUGCGUUGAGACCAAACACUCGAGCCGCGCCUUGGCGAAUUGAGAGUGAAAGUUGGUGCAGAUGCAGCUUCUCUUUUGCACCUGGUUUAUUGACGGGGAAAUGGAAAAAGAGUCGACAAUCCUGACAGCUUUAGAAUUGUGAAUGAUGCAGGGAUGCUGUUGCCUGACGUUUCCAACACAGAAACGGACAAUUUUUGCCCAACUAACUGGGAUUUAUAACCACAGGAGUAUCCUGCCCUUCAUCUCAUCCCGACAAACACAGCCUCAUUUCAUAUUCCAGCUUUCCCUUAAAUUGGAUAAGCGCAGACGUCGGAGAAUCGUAUUGAUCGAUUUUAAUUUUACCCGAAACAAAAUUAAUACUAAAUAAACUUGAAUCAAAAUUAACACUAUUACAAACAAACCAUUAAAUCGAAAAGAUCGCAACUGUAAUUAUGUAUACCUGUAUAUGGCUGAGAGAUCAUGUCUUCUCAACACCCUUUACUGGUAAUGAAUAAAGGUGAUGGGGUGAACUCGUGAAGGAGAGUGGAAUUCGCAUCAGCUUGUUACACUCCAUUUUAGACGUACAUGUUAAAUUUGAUGGGUGGGCGCCGAAAGAGAAGGACUGAAGUAAAAUGCUGCUAAAUGUGCCGAGGUACUGUUUAGAAGAUUAGGCAAUGAUUUAUUUCAGAGUGAUUCAAAAUGUAGCCGAAAACCUUUCAAAAUGGGGUUUUCUUUGCCUCAAUCCCAAAUAGUAGCAGCAAUAAUAAUGUUUUUAACUUCCAGACAUUGGCCUGAAACUCCCCGGGAUGAAGUUGAGGGUUUGUGCUAACAUGCUUGUUGGGGAUCUGGACGUCCUGAAGCAUCUCAAGAAGAGAGCUCUACUCGGAUGCUCAAACUGGAUUUGAUUUGUAAAACAGAAAUCAAAAAGCUGCAAUCCUCCAGCAGAAUUACAAGAUUCAUUCGGCCUUAAUAAAAGGUCAGAAACCAACAGAACUCUGUAAUCACUGGAGAAGAUUUCGGUUGUUCACUACUUAUGUGCAUUUGUGAGAAAGGGCCACCACGUUAAAUGCUAUUUUUAUAUUCAUGCAUGGAUUCUACCAGACCUGCUGAGUGUUCCCAGCAUUUACUAUUUUUACUCAAAAAGGACAUGUUACCGAGGCCCAAUUGCGCUACACUAACAACCAGUUUAGAUAAUUUGUCCCUAACACGCCACGUUAAAUUGGAAAUGUUAAUUUUGUUUCUCUCCCUUUGGCUCGGCUAGUCGCUCUGGAUGACAUUUACAUACAGGGACCUGUUCUUUGCAAACUUUCUUCAGGACAAUGCUUUGACAAUUUGAAUAAAGUUGCUAAUCAAUCAGCAUCCUUUUUGUCUGGUAGUAUAAAUUGUUGCAAUCUAAUUUGUUUUGGCAUGUGCAAGAUGCAAAGCUUUGAUAAUGCCUUUCGUUUCAGCAACUUUCUAUAUUGAUUUCUGAUUUCCCACGUCCGUGAGUGUUUUGGUUUUGUAUUUGGUAUUCAAGCCCUCAGCUCUCAAAUACUUUUAUUUUGUGUCGGUUUGUUAGAUGUGCGAGGCAAGGCAAUGUACAUUCAUUUACUGUGUCAUGUGGAAUUCCUUUUAUUUCAGAAUAGCACUUUUUAUUCGGGACAGUUUCUUCUGGUAAUAAUGUCCCAUGCAUGUAACAAACAAAUUACAGUUGAAAUAAACAUAUUUUUCACCCAUUUCA